AUAUCAAUAAGCGGAGGAAAAGAAACCAACAGGGAUUGCCUCAGUAACGGCGAGUGAAGCGGCAACAGCUCAAAUUUGAAAUCUGGAGUUUUCAACUUCCGAAUUGUAAUUUGAAGAGGAUGUUUCGGUUGCGACCAUGGCUUAAGUUCUUUGGAACAGGACGUCACAGAGGGUGAGAAUCCCGUACAUGGCUGAUGGUCUGCUUCCAUGUGAAACUCCUUCGAAGAGUCGAGUUGUUUGGGAAUGCAGCUCUAAAUGGGUGGUAAAUUUCAUCUAAAGCUAAAUACUGGCGAGAGACCGAUAGCGCACAAGUAGAGUGAUCGAAAGAUGAAAAGCACUUUGAAAAGAGAGUUAAACAGUAC
rnacentral:rRNA from 1 species